UACGGAGGGUGCAAGCGUUGUCCGGAUUUAUUGGGUUUAAAGGGUGCGUAGGCGGCUGAUUAAGUCAGCGGUGAAAUUCCACAGCUUAACUGUGGAACUGCCAUUGAUACUGGUUAGCUUGAGUACAGAUGAGGUAGGCGGAAUUGACAGUGUAGCGGUGAAAUGCUUAGAUAUUGUCAAGAACACCUAUUGCGAAGGCAGCUUACUAAACUGUAACUGACGCUGAGGCACGAAAGCGUGGGGAUCAAACAGG
rnacentral:rRNA from 1 species